ACGGAAUCUUGCUCUGUCGCCCAGGCUGGAGUGCGGUGGAACGAUCUCGGCUCACUGCAGCCUCCACCUCCCAGGUUUAAGCUAUUCUCGUGCCUCAGCCUCCCAAGUAGCUGGGAUUACAGGCAUAAGCCACCACACCCAGCUGAUUUUUGUAUUUUUAGUAGAGAUGGGGUCUCGCCAUGUUGGCCAGGUUGGUCUAGAACUCCUGACCUCAGAUGACCCACCUGCCUUGGCCUCCGAAAGUGCUGGGCUUACAGGUGUGAGCCACUGCACCUGGUUUCAGGCACCCUUUCAGCUCAUUGUAUGGCAUUUUGGCUAGACCUUAUGUGAACUCAAAUUGUUAUCCUGUGCUUCCCUUACUGGCAACGUUUACAGAUGGCUUUGUAUCAACCAAAGCGUUGUACAACUCAUAGCAUUUCAGAGCUAGAAGGGACCAUAAACAGUGUCAUAGCCACCGUUCUUUGAACACUUACAACUUUGUGCUAGACACUAACCCAGGUACCUUCUGAUGUUUUUGCCUGCACGGUACAGCCAUUCCUUUUCCCGUGACACCACCCUGUCCUCGGCAAUUCACCGUGUCCACACCACAGCUCAGGGAUGACCAGAUAACCCAGACUUGGACUAUUAAGCUCAAUCUCAAGAUUUUUGUAGAAACAUCAGGAAAGAGAAUGGGUACCACUUGAGGGUGAGUCAGCAUGUGAAGGAAGGUAAAACGGAAAACUAGCCAGGUACAGUGGCAUGUGCCUGCAGUCCCAGCUACUCGGGAGGCUGAGACGGGAGGAUUGCUUGAGCCCAGGAGUUCUGGGCUGUAAUUCACUAUGUUGAUUAGGUGUCUGCACUAAGUGUGGCAUCGAUAUGGUGAUCUCCUAGGAACGAGGGACCACCAGGUAGCCUAAGGAGGGGUGAACCAGCCCAGGUCGAAAAUGGAGCAGGUCAAAACUCCUGUGCUAAUCAGUAGUGGGAUCGUGCCUGUGAGUAGCUGUUGCACUCCAGCCUGGGCAAUAUAGCAAGACCUCAUCUCCAAAAAAAAAAAAAAAAAAAGGAAUAGUGAAAUGAAAUAGUUCACACUGAGAAACAGCCUUGAACGAAUAAAAUAAAAUAAAAUAGGCUGGGCGCUGUGGCUCACACCUGUAAUCCCAGCACUUUGGGAGGCCGAGGAAGGCGGAUCACUUGAGGCCAGGAGUUCAAGACCAACCUGAGCAGCAAUAUAGCAAGACACCCCCACCUCUAAAGAAAAAAAAAAUUAAAGAGUUAAGUGACUGCAUUUCUUCAACUGCAGGACUUCUCUGGGAUCUCUCUCUCUCUGAGUCUACCUGGCUAUAUGCCCUUGAAUGAGUCCAGUCACCUGUUCUGAGUCUCAAUUUCAAGAGCUACAAAAUAAGACAGUAAUUAUUUCCCUCUUUAUCCUUUAUUUAUUUAUUUAAUUUUUUAUUUUUUAUUUUUUGAGAUGGAGUCUUGCUCUGUCGCCC
rnacentral:lncRNA from 10 species